CUAAGGGUUAUCAGACGGAUCCGAUGAUCCUUCCGCGGUGACACUUAUCGAAGCCUUGAAAUGCGCCCUCGCAAGAGGGAGAUGCCCCGCGACUAUAAAACAAAGGGGGACUCGCAAGUCGGCCUGCGGGCCGGCGACACUUUCGAAUUGCGGGGACAUCCUUAGAGCUCUGCCUACCAACCCGCGGGGGAAACCUCGCGGGGGCCCGUGUUAACGGCACGGGGUGCGGUAAGAACGGUGUAGAGAUUGGACGAUCCGCAGCCAAGCCCCUACGUCCAGCCGGCCUGGAUACGGGGAAGGUUCACAGACUAAGUGGAAGUGGGUGCGGCCUGUUGAAACGCUUAAGAUAUUGAUUGUUUUUCAGACAAAGCUGGGGGGUGAGUCGAUGUUGAUAGAGCCCUGGCGGGCGUGAGCCUGCCCAAGGACGGAGGGCGGUUGAUUCGGGCUCCGGCCCGAUCCUCCCACCCUUUGUGUACCCACCUCUGUUGCUUUGGCGGGCCGCGGUCCUCCGCGGCCGCCCUCCGUCCGGGGGGUGGCCAGCGCCCGCCAGAGGACCAUCAAACUCCGGUCAGUGAACGUUGCCGUCUGAAAAACAAUCAAUAAACUAAAACUUUCAACAACGGAUCUCUUGGUUCUGGCAUCGAUGAAGAACGCACCGAAAUGCGAUAAGUAAUGUGAAUUGCAGAAUUCAGUGAAUCAUCGAAUCUUUGAACGCACAUUGCGCCCCUCGGUAUUCCGAGGGGCAUGCCUGUUCGAGCGUCAUUACAACCCUCAAGCUCUGCUUGGUGUUGGGCACCGCCCUUCCGCGGGCGCGCCUCAAAGACCUCGGCGGUGGCGUCUUGCCUCGAGCGUAGUAAAAACACCUCGCUUUGGAGCGCACGGCGCCGCCGCGGACUAACCUUAUGAACUUUCUCAAGGUUGACCUCGCAUCAGGUAGGGAUACUCGUUGCACUAAAGCAUAUAAAUAAUUCGGAGGCAA
rnacentral:rRNA from 1 species